GAGGGUAGAGCUCAGAGGUGGAGCACAUGCUUAGCAUGCACCAGGUCCUGGGUUCAAUCCCCAGUACCUCCA
rfam:Camelus ferus unplaced genomic scaffold scaffold1331, whole genome shotgun sequence.